rnacentral:rRNA from 1 species
UGGGGAAUUUUGCGCAAUGGGGGAAACCCUGACGCAGCAACGCCGCGUGAGUGAUGAAGGCCUUCGGGUUGUAAAGCUCUGUCAGAGGGAAAGAAAGGGGUGUCGGAAUAAUACCCGACACCAUUGACGGUACCCUCGGAGGAAGCACCGGCUAACUCCGUGCCAGCAGCCGCGGUAAUACGGAGGGUGCAAGUGUUAUUCGGAAUUACUGGGCGUAAAGAGCACGUAGGCGGAUAGGUAAGUCAGAUGUGAAAUCCCGGGGCUUAACUUCGGAACUGCAUUUGAUACUGCCUGUCUUGAGUAUGGUAGAGGGGGAUGGAAUUCCCGGUGUAGAGGUGAAAUUCGUAGAUAUCGGGAGGAACACCAGAGGCGAAGGCGAUCCCCUGGGCCAUUACUGACGCUGAGGUGCGAAAGCGUGGGGAGCAAACA